UCUUGUUUUGGAGGAAAAUGUGAACGAAAAGUUGUUUCAGUCGUGCGACAGAAAACCCCGAUUAGACAGAUAGUGUAGCUAGCUGUCUGGAUUUACCCUGCAGAGAUCUGAGGACCAGUUAACCAAAGUCCUCAGAAAUCCACUGGAGUUUAAAAUACCAACUCAAAGAAAGUGGAAGGUAACGGACAUCCGGCAAAAAUGAAAGACAUCCGGCUGAAUUUCCGGCGGCACCUGUACAAUCCUGGAAGUGGAAAGUUAUGGAUAUAGAC